UGGGGAAUUUUCCGCAAUGGGCGAAAGCCUGACGGAGCAACGCCGCGUGAGGGAUGAAGGCCUCUGGGCUGUAAACCUCUUUUAUCAAGGAAGAAGAUCUGACGGUACUUGAUGAAUAAGCCACGGCUAAUUCCGUGCCAGCAGCCGCGGUAAUACGGGAGUGGCAAGCGUUAUCCGGAAUUAUUGGGCGUAAAGCGUCCGCAGGCGGUUUUACAAGUCUGUCGUUAAAGCGUGGAGCUCAACUCCAUUUCAGCGAUGGAAACUGUAAGACUCGAGUGUGGUAGGGGCAGAGGGAAUUCCCGGUGUAGCGGUGAAAUGCGUAGAUAUCGGGAAGAACACCAGUGGCGAAAGCGCUCUGCUGGGCCAUAACUGACGCUCAUGGACGAAAGCCAGGGGAGCGAAAGGGAUUAGAUACCCCUGUAGUC
rnacentral:rRNA from 1 species